rnacentral:rRNA from 1 species
CGGGUACCUGAGAGGAAGGUCCCCCACAUUGGAACUGAGACACGGUCCAAACUCCUACGGGAGGCAGCAG